rnacentral:rRNA from 1 species
AACGAACGCUGGCGGCAGGCCUAACACAUGCAAGUCGAGCGGACCUUUCGGGGUCAGCGGCGGACGGGUGAGUAACGCGUGGGAAUAUGCCCUUCUCUACGGAAUAGUCCUGGGAAACUGGGGGUAAUACCGUAUACGCCCUUUGGGGGAAAGAUUUAUCGGGGAAGGAUUAGCCCGCGUUGGAUUAGGUAGUUGGUGGGGUAAUGGCCUACCAAGCCGACGAUCCAUAGCUGGUUUGAGAGGAUGAUCAGCCACACUGGGACUGAGACACGGCCCAGACUCCUACGCGAGGCAGCAGUGGGGAAUCUUAGACAAUGGCGGCAACCCUGAUCGAGCCAUGCCGCGUGAGUGAUGAAGGCCUUAGGGUUGUAAAGCUCUUUCAGCUGGGAAGAUAAUGACGGUACCAGCAGAAGAAGCCCCGGCUAACUCCGUG